rnacentral:rRNA from 1 species
UACAGAGGUCUCAAGCGUUGUUCGGAUUCAUUGGGCGUAAAGGGUGCGUAGGUGGCGCGGUAAGUCGGGUGUGAAAUCUCGGAGCUUAACUCCGAAAUUGCAUUCGAUACUGCCGUGCUUGAGGACUGGAGAGGAGACUGGAAUUCAUCGGUGUAGCAGUGAAAUGCGUAGAGAUCGUAAGGAAGACCAGUGGCGAAGCGGGUCGUCUGACAGUUCCUGACGCUGAGCACGAAGGUCAGGGGAGCAAACGGG